AGAGUUUGAUCCUGGCUCAGGACGAACGCUGGCGGCACGCUUAACACAUGCAAGUCGAACGAGAGAAGAGGAGCUUGCUUUUCUGAUCUAGUGGCGGACGGGUGAGUAACACGUGAGCAAUCUGCCUUUCAGAGGGGGAUACCGAUUGGAAACGAUCGUUAAUACCGCAUAACAUAAUUGAACCGCAUGAUUUGAUUAUCAAAGAUUUAUCGCUGAAAGAUGAGCUCGCGUCUGAUUAGCUAGUUGGUAAGGUAACGGCUUACCAAGGCGACGAUCAGUAGCCGGACUGAGAGGUUGAUCGGCCACAUUGGGACUGAGACACGGCCCAGACUCCUACGGGAGGCAGCAGUGGGGAAUAUUGCACAAUGGAGGAAACUCUGAUGCAGCGAUGCCGCGUGAGGGAAGAAGGUUUUAGGAUUGUAAACCUCUGUCUUCAGGGACGAAAAAAGACGGUACCUGAGGAGGAAGCUCCGGCUAACUACGUACCAGCAGCCGCGGUAAUACGUAGGGAGCGAGCGUUGUCCGGAAUUACUGGGUGUAAAGGGAGCGUAGGCGGGAUCGCAAGUCAGAUGUGAAAACUAUGGGCUUAACCCAUAAACUGCAUUUGAAACUGUGGUUCUUGAGUGAAGUAGAGGUAAGCGGAAUUCCUAGUGUAGCGGUGAAAUGCGUAGAUAUUAGGAGGAACAUCAGUGGCGAAGGCGGCUUACUGGGCUUUAACUGACGCUGAGGCUCGAAAGCGUGGGGAGCAAACAGGAUUAGAUACCCUGGUAGUCCACGCCGUAAACGAUGAUUACUAGGUGUGGGGGGACUGACCCCUUCCGUGCCGCAGCAAACGCAAUAAGUAAUCCACCUGGGGAGUACGACCGCAAGGUUGAAACUCAAAGGAAUUGACGGGGGCCCGCACAAGCAGUGGAGUAUGUGGAUUAAUUCGAAGCAACGCGAAGAACCUUACCAGGUCUUGACAUCGUAUGCAUAGCUCAGAGAUGAGUGAAAUCUCUUCGGAGACAUAUAGACAGGUGGUGCAUGGUUGUCGUCAGCUCGUGUCGUGAGAUGUUGGGUUAAGUCCCGCAACGAGCGCAACCCUUACUGUUAGUUGCUACGCAAGAGCACUCUAGCAGGACUGCCGUUGACAAAACGGAGGAAGGUGGGGAUGACGUCAAAUCAUCAUGCCCCUUAUGACCUGGGCCUCACACGUACUACAAUGGCUGUCAACAGAGGGAAGCAAAGCCGCGAGGUGGAGCGAACCCCUAAAAGCAGUCUUAGUUCGGAUUGUAGGCUGCAACCCGCCUACAUGAAGUCGGAAUUGCUAGUAAUCGCAGAUCAGCAUGCUGCGGUGAAUACGUUCCCGGGCCUUGUACACACCGCCCGUCACGCCAUGGGAGUCGGUAACACCCGAAGCCUGUAGUCUAACCGCAAGGAGGACGCAGUCGAAGGUGGGAUUGAUGACUGGGGUGAAGUCGUAACAAGGUA
rnacentral:rRNA from 1 species